AUCCUCUUGUAGGUCAUAAGCAUGAUGAUUGGGUGCUCACGCUGUUUUGUGACAUGCGCCACCCUUAAACCUUGUUACGACGUCAGCACAUUACCUGUCUGACG
ensembl:snoRNA